rnacentral:rRNA from 1 species
ACACAUGCAAGUCGAACGCAACCUUCGGGUUGAGUGGCAGACGGGUGAGUAACGCGUGAGAAUCUGCCUUGGGGUCGGGGACAACCACUGGAAACGGUGGCUAAUACCGGAUAAGCCUUUGGGUAAAAAAUUAUUGCCCCAAGAGGAGCUCGCGUCUGAUUAGCUAGUUGGUGAGGUAAAAGCUCACCAAUGCAGCGAUCAGUAGCUGGUCUGAGAGGACGAUCAGCCACACUGGGACUGAGACACGGNCCAGACUCCUACGGGAGGCAGCAGUGGGGAAUUUUCCGCAAUGGGCGAAAGCCUGACGGAGCAAGACCGCGUGAGGGAGGAAGGCUCUUGGGUUGUAAACCUCUUUUCUCAGGGAAGAAGCUCUGACGGUACCUGAGGAAUCAGCCUCGGCUAACUCCGUGCCAGCAGCCGCGGUAAUACGGAGGAGGCAAGCGUUAUCCGGAAUUAUUGGGCGUAAAGCGUCCGCAGGUGGCGAUUCAAGUCUGCUGUCAAAGCACGGGGCUUAACUCCGUUAAGGCAGUGGAAACUGAAUAGCUAGAGUGCCGUACGGGUAGAGGGAAUUCCCGGUGUAGCGGUGAAAUGCGUAGAGAUCGGGAAGAACAUCGGUGGCGAAAGCGCUCUACUGGACGGCAACUGACACUCAGGGACGAAAGCUAGGGGAGCGAAUGGGAUUAGAUACCCCAGUAGUCCUAGCUGUAAACGAUGGAUACUAGGUGUAGCUUGUAUCGACCCGAGCUGUGCCGAAGCUAACGCGUUAAGUAUCCCGCCUGGGGAGUACGCACGCAAGUGGUGAAACUCAAAGGAAUUGACGGGGGCCCGCACAAGCGGUGGAGUAUGUGGUUUAAUUCGAUGCAACGCGAAGAACCUUACCAGGGCUUGACAUGUCCGGAAUCCCGGUGAAAGCUGGGAGUGCCUUCGGGAGCCGGAACACAGGUGGUGCAUGGCUGUCGUCAGCUCGUGUCGUGAGAUGUUGGGUUAAGUCCCGCAACGAGCGCAACCCUCGUCUUUAGUUGCCAGCAUUAAGUUGGGCACUCUAGAGAGACUGCCGGUGACAAACCGGAGGAAGGUGGGGAUGACGUCAAGUCAGCAUGCCCCUUACGCUCUGGGCGACACACGUACUACAAUGGUCGGGACAGAGGGCAGCGAACCUGCGAAGGCAAGCUAAU